rnacentral:rRNA from 1 species
AUGGAGCUGAGAAAUCUAAUUCAAAGAGAGGGAAAGAGUGCUAGUCCGAAAGAACAAGCAAGGGUUGAGCGCACGGGAGCGAAAUCCGUUGCACCCAUGCGCAUACGUUUCUUGCUGGUUCUUAUCGAUCCCAUUUUAAGGACAAAUCCUAAUGUUGGUAAAAUAUACGUGUUGAUCAAGGCCAAGGACAAUGAAGCAGCCAUGAAAAGAUUGAAGAACGAGGUAGAAGAUACUGAGUUGUUCAGAUGUUUACUGGAAAUCCAUGGGAAAAACUACCACAACUUUGUAUUAAGCAAGCAGGUUCCAGUCGUUGGUAAUUUCAGGGAAGCCAACAUUGGCAUUGCUCCUGAGAUAGCCAAAGAGAUCGCGGAAGAAGUGGAUGUUAUCAUAAACUCUGUAGCAAAUACCACUUUUGAUGAGAGGUAUGAUGUAGCACUAGACAUCAACACCGUGGGGCCAUUCUGGAUAAUGAGUUUCACGCAGCGGUUUCGAAGACUGAAGAUCUUCUUGCAAGUAUCAACAGGUCAGAAUGCCAAAUAA